rnacentral:ncRNA from 2 species
UGCCCCACCUCGGGGUGCCUGCGGAUGUUCCGCCGGCUGAGAUGCGCAAGCGAACCCGUCGAACCUGAACCGGAUCAUACCGGCGGAGGGAAGGUGCGAGAGCGAUCU